AGCUCGCCCGUACGAAGGACGAGGAAAUUUCAGAGUGCACAAUACAAGCCUGUAACGUUGCAUAAUAUGGCGCGUGUUCAGCCAAAGUAUUCGUUAUGGUAUUUGCUACACCUAGCCAACCGGGGCAUAUGUUUUUCGAUAUGACGCCGAACGUCAGGUGUUCAUCUCGAGACUAUCAAACCUAAACAGACUCUAUGGUAUAAGCCUUACGUGUUUUAUUAGCCGGGCACGUGAGGAGUUGUUUGUGUCAUAUAGGAAUAGCGUGGACUUGAGCCCUCCCUCUCGGAAUUCGCGCUGCAGUAGAGGGUACUUGAGACUUUGGCGAUGUGAUCCGAGCGGCGAUAUUCGCGGGCGCGGGACUCCACUCGCUGCAUCCCUCUUGCUCCCGGCUCGCGGCGCGCGGCGAGCGGCGCUCGGCGGGCGGGAGGCGCCCGGCGUCACUCACGUCGACUCGGUCUCCUCGGUCGUGUGUCCGAACCUCUCCUGUCCGCGACGUGCGAUCUCUCCGAACCCUACCGGUACUAACGUACGCCGCGUCCUAGACGCGACUCUUAACAACAUAUCCCUAGCGCUUAACCCUUCACAGACCCGUUAACCUGGGCUCCGUAGUAACGGUCAGUAUUCUUUCAAAGUUGAGUUUCGAAGUUUUCUCUCAGUGUUUCGGACUAUAUAAAUACAACGCGUCAGCGUUUAAACUUUAAGGGCUUGUGUCCUACCGUAAAUAAAGGAUUGUUUGGAUUGACGGAAAGUGUCUGAACUUCUGAAGUGAAGCGAGCUGCCUUCGCGUUUCAUUUGCAUCUGUCAAACAGAUUGUUAGUACAUCGUAACAAAGAAAUCGUCGCUGAGAUAAUAUUGAAUACAACGUUAAAUCUGAGGCAUCACGCAGAUUUCCCUGAAACUAUAACACGUGACCUGAAGGAUAUUGAAAU